CCUCCUUAUACGAUUUAGAACUUAUUUGUUCGUAGUGUCCACACAGAUGAUUGUUAGUUAGCUAAGCCACUGGCUUACCUAAUUAAUAUGCUCUUUAAAAAUUUGGAAAAGCUGAUAAUAAAAUUCGUAUAGAUAACAGUUGUUAUUUAUACAGAGUUUUCAAAAGUAAAAAAUGCCAUUGAUUAUUCAAACGAAUAAUGAAUUGGUAUCUACUUUAGUAUUCAAUAUUAACUUCUGGCGAAGUUAAACUGUCACUAUAAAUACAAUUAAGUGUAAAAACUUAGUAUUGCGACGUGGAUUUGAUACUUAGGCAACGCCGCUGAUAUUUUUGUCGCUGGGCGCAUAACGUGUUAUGUAACCAAGCAAAAAUAGAAAGCAAGGCAGUAUAAGUAACAAAGACCAAGCAGACCCGUUUGGGUUGUAUGGUUAGUGACUAAGCGUACACGGUGGAUGCA
rnacentral:misc_RNA from 1 species